CAACAUAGUUCAUAGGAAGAAUUACCCCAAAAAUUAUGAAAAUUGUUCACAUUGGUGACGCUUAAGUCUACCAUUUAAUUUAUCGUAGAUACAUCCCUGCGGUUUGUGUCUGCGCAUGCGCGUAUCUGUACGCACGAAGAGGUACUCGACUAAUCGCAUCGGGUGCCCCGGCCACGCUUCCCGCUCUUCGUUUCCUCGUGUUAUUUAGUGAACGUCUUUACGUUCUUUUCCGAAUUCUUGUCAUUUUGUGGUUACCCAAACGUCACGCGAUACCUUUGAAUUUUGCGCAUUAGUUAUAAUCGUAUAUAUUAAAGACAUCCUCUGGGUAUAUAGAAUUUCUGCGCAUCAAUACGUUCGUGCAACGUCAACCUAACCCCCAAUAAGUGCAGGAGCCACGGACCUGACAUUCCAUUACGAUGUAUAAGGCUUUCCUCCAGGUUCCAAGAGGAGUAGCCCUGCUGAACAUUUUACGGUUGUACAAUGCUUGCUUACUUGUAAACGUCAAUGAACGCAUGCGCAUAAGAGAGUACCGUGAAUAGUCUGUCAUCAGGAUCGUAUAUAAGAUGGAGACACAAAAGAGGGAAACAUACUCAAAAUAUAAUAAAAAUAAUUUAUCUCAAUUUCGUUAGUAAAAUUUACGACUUGUUCAAGUAAUUAUAUCGUUUCACACGUCAUAAGAAGUUAAAAAUAGAUUAAUCGUUUUAAUAAAUAAAAGAACGUUAUUCUAUAACAAAGUUAUUGAUUUUUUAAUAUUCUAUAAAAACCUACUGCUUGAUAUAUUAAUAUUAUUUUUUCAACGAAAAUUUACAGAUUAUGUAGGCAUCAUAAACUUUAAUCUAUUUCAUUAACUUUCUUGCGGUGAUCUAUUGCGUUGUUAUAUUUAUUACUUCUUACAAUUGCGUAUAAACGUAUAAGCAAAUUUAAUAUUUAUUCAAGAGAAGAUAACAUGUGCUAAUAGUCCGAGGCGCAAUGUUCUACAAUUCAUUCAAAUAUUUUAUGCUAACAGAACUACUAUAUAUCUAUGUUCGUUGUUGUAUAUAUAUCAAUCGUAAACAAUUCGAAAGAAUAUGUAUGUACUUAGUAAGUAACAGCUUGUAUUUGAAUUUGCUUAAUGAGCUCUCAGUGAUCUACGGAUAACUGAGUUCGGAGCACCUGGCGCACAGCCAGUGCGGUUGAGAAAAACGUGUUAGUAUCACUAACAUCUUUCAUUAAGAACAGAUACAUAUUGUACAUACAUAUAUGUAUGUAUUCUUUGUAUUUCGUAUACAACAAUUUUAUAUUUAAAAAAUUCAUAUAAUAAUUUUUGUACAAUAUGUAUUGUUAAAUAUAUAUAUGAUGUAUUAUAUUUAAUAUAAAACUUUUUUUUUCUAUCUUUUUCAUUUUUGUAUGGAAUGUCAAAAAUUUUGAAGGUUUAAUAUACACGAAAAUGUAUUCUCA
rnacentral:lncRNA from 1 species